AUACGGAGGAUCCGAGCGUUAUCCGGAUUUAUUGGGUUUAAAGGGUGCGCAGGCGGGAGAUUAAGUCGGCGGUGAAAUUUUGCAGCUCAACUGUAAAAGUGCCUUCGAAACUGGUUUCCUUGAGUGUAGAUGAAGGAGGCGGAAUUUGUGGUGUAGCGGUGAAAUGCAUAGAUAUCACGAGGAACUCCGAUUGCGCAGGCAGCUUACUAACAUACUACUGACGCUCAGGCACGAAGGCGUGGGGAUCAAACAGGAUUAGAUACCCUGGUAGUCCACGCAGUAAACGAUGAUUACUAGCUGUUUGCGAUACAAUGUAAGCGGCUGAGCGAAAGCGUUAAGUAAUCCACCUGGGGAGUACGUUCGCAAGAAUGAAACUCAAAGGAAUUGACGGGG
rnacentral:rRNA from 1 species